AGCGAACGCUGGCGGCAGGCCUAAAACAUGCAAGUCGAACGCCGUAGCAAUACGGAGUGGCAGACGGGUGAGUAACACGUGGGAACGUACCCUUUGGUUCGGAACAACACAGGGAAACUUGUGCUAAUACCGGAUAAGCCCUUACGGGGAAAGAUUUAUCGCCGAAGGAUCGGCCCGCGUCUGAUUAGCUAGUUGGUGAGGUAACGGCUCACCAAGGCGACGAUCAGUAGCUGGUCUGAGAGGAUGAUCAGCCACACUGGGACUGAGACACGGCCCAGACUCCUACGGGAGGCAGCAGUGGGGAAUCUUGCGCAAUGGGCGAAAGCCUGACGCAGCCAUGCCGCGUGAGUGAAGAAGGUCUUAGGAUUGUAAAGCUCUUUCGCUCGUGACGAUGAUGACGGUAACGAGAGAAGAAGCCCCGGCUAACUUCGUGCCAGCCGCCGCUGUAAG
rnacentral:rRNA from 1 species